rnacentral:rRNA from 1 species
AUUGAACGCUGGCGGCAGGCCUAACACAUGCAAGUCGAGCGGAGCGGCGGACGGGUGAGUAAUUCCUAGGAAUCUGCCUGGUAGUGGGGGAUAACGUCCGGAAACGGGCGCUAAUACCGCAUACUAUCAGAUUAGCCUAGGUCGGAUUAGCUAGUUGGUGGGGAAAAGGCCUACCAAGGCGACGAUCCGUAACUGGUCUGCGAGGAUGAUCAGUCACACGGGAACUGAGACACGGUCCAGACGCAUACGGGAGGCAGCAGUGGGGAAUAUUGGACAAUGGGCGCAAGCCUGAUCCAGCAAUGCCGCGUGUGUGAAGAAGGGUUUCGGAUUGUAAAGCACGUUAAGUUGGGAGGCGUUACCAACAGAAUAAGCACCGGCUAACUUCGUGCCAGCCGCCGCGGUAAUAC